UUGGUUAAGUUAGAAAGGGCGCACGGUGGAUGCCUUGGCACUAGGAGCCGAAGAAGGACGGGACUAACACCGAUAUGCUUUGGGGAGCUGUACGUAAGCGUUGAUCCAGAGAUUUCCGAAUGGGGGAACCCACUAUCUUUAGUCGGAUAGUAUCCUUACGUGAAUACAUAGCGUGAGGAAGGCAGACCCAGGGAACUGAAACAUCUAAGUACCUGGAGGAAGAGAAAGAAAAAUCGAUUUCCUGAGUAGCGGCGAGCGAAACGGAAAGAGCCCAAACCAAGAAGCUUGCUUCUUGGGGUUGUAGGACACUCUAUACGGAGUUACAAAAGAAAGUUAUAAAUGAAGCGGUCUGGAAAGGCCCGCCAAAGACGGUAACAGCCCGGUAGUUGAAAUGGCUUUCCCUCCAGAGUGGAUCCUGAGUACGGCGGAACACGUGAAAUUCCGUCGGAAUCCGGGAGGACCAUCUCCCAAGGCUAAAUACUCCCUAGUGACCGAUAGUGAACCAGUACCGUGAGGGAAAGGUGAAAAGCACCCCGGAAGGGGAGUGAAACAGUUCCUGAAACCGUGUGCCUACAAGUAGUUAGAGCCCGUUAAUGGGUGAUAGCGUGCCUUUUGUAGAAUGAACCGGCGAGUUACGAUUUGUUGCAAGGUUAAGCGGAAAAAGCGGAGCCGUAGCGAAAGCGAGUCUGAAUAGGGCGCAUAAGUAACAGGUCGUAGACCCGAAACCAGGUGAUCUACCCAUGUCCAGGAUGAAGGUAAGGUAAUACUUACUGGAGGUCCGAACCCACGCACGUUGAAAAGUGCGGGGAUGAGGUGUGGGUAGCGGAGAAAUUCCAAUCGAACUUGGAG
rnacentral:rRNA from 1 species